rnacentral:rRNA from 1 species
UUGGAAGUAAAAAAAGCGUAACAAGGUUUCCGUAGGUGAACCUGCGGAAGGAUCAUUACUGAUUUGCUUAAUUGCACCACAUGUGUUUUUUAUUGAACAAAUUUCUUUGGUGGCGGGAGCAAUCCUACCGCCAGAGGUUAUAAUUAAACCAAACUUUUUAUUUACAGUCAAACUUGAUUUAUUAUUACAAUAGUCAAAACUUUCAACAACGGAUUUCUUGGUUCUCGCAUCGAUGAAGAACGCAGCGAAAUGCGAUACGUAAUAUGAAUUGCAGAUAUUCGUGAAUCAUGGAAUCUUUGAACGCACAUUGCGCCCUUUGGUAUUCCAAAGGGCAUGCCUGUUUGAGCGUCAUUUCUCCCUCAAACCCCCGGGUUUGGUGUUGAGCAAUACGCUAGGUUUGUUUGAAAGAAUUUACGUGGAAACUUAUUUUAAGCGACUUAGGUUUAUCCAAAAACGCUUAUUUUGCUAGUGGCCACCACAAUUUAUUUCAUAACUUGACCUCAAAUCAGUAGACAGCCCAUCCA